UUAUUUAGUGCUUGGCUUUAUUGAGGGUGUUCAAUAGUUGAUUCCAGUGUUGUUGUUUUUUUGUUUGAAAUUGUUAAACCUAGGGUUUUGAAAUUUGGGGGUUUUGGUAUAAUUGUAAUUUAAUUUUAUGAUUAAUUGAUUUGGGUUGUUUGAAUUAGGGUCUGCACCAUAAUUAUGAUUGAUUUUAUAUUUUUAUUGUCCAUUUUUUCUCAUGGUUAUUGCACCAUAUUCAGUAGCUAUUACCUGUAUUCAAAUUGCAAGCACAACUACGUUGUAUUCUUUCAUUUAUAAGGAAAUUCAUUAAUCUUGGUUCUUUCAUUUAUAAUUUUAUAAUUAUCUUUUAUUAUUACAGUUGUGUACAAAAAAAAAAAAUUGGGGGGCAUAAUUUUUUUUUUUGCUUCGGGGCAAAAAAAGUUCAGGAACGGCCCUGCAUUUCUGUACUGGUUGUGUUGUCUCUCUGCAUGAUGAAACUCCGUUUGCUACAAGUCUCGAUGAAUUUCUAUAGCAAUGAGAUAGGGAGGUUUAAGUACAAAUUUGCGACUUCUCACUGAGUUUAUCUGAAUGAAUCCAAGUGACAUGCGUGUAAGUUUGAAAAAACGUAUCUAAGUACUCUGCCAAGGUAUGCCCAGAAAGAGAGUGGAAGUACUAGUAUUUCAAAGGGAAGAUCAAACUCAACGUGUAUGUGGAAGAGAUGCAGAUCAAAUAAAUCGAAUCAGGCCAAAUGAAAAUGAACUAAGGGACAAGAGGAUAUUAUGAGCAAAGCGUCAAAGACUGGGUAUUUGAGCUAAAGAAUGGAUGAGGAAGAUGUGAUUCAAGAUCAUCGGAUGUAAAAAUUGUCUGAAAGUGCAACAUUGUAAAUUUUUUUGCAAGGAUUUCUGAUGUCAAUUGCAGGAAAUUGUGAUUUAAGAUGUCAACUGCCAUGGGACAGAAGGAUUAUGAAGAAAGGCUGGGUAUUUGAGCUAAAGAACCGAAGAGGAAGAUGGGAUUUCAACAUCAUAUCGUAUCAACUCUGUAACUUCUUUUUGCAAGGAUUUCAGAUUUCAAUUGCAGGUUACAAGCAUUGUGGGGUUACAGCUAAGCAUUAGUCCAGCCGUGUGAACUAUGCAGUAUUUUCGAUUUUAUUUGUAUUUCUUUUUUUUAGUACCAGCAAAUUUGCAUCUAAAAAGAAAGGUAUUGCAGAGAAGAUCUUUAAUACACCCUAGAAAUCAUUGCAACUCAAACUUAAUAAGAUGUAACACGCAUUGGUUAUCAGUUACUUUUCUUUGAAUUCACAUUUGGUACUGGAAAUGAGUAUAAGUUUAUUCUUC